GAAAAUUAAUAAAAUCGGAAACACCAAACGCUAUAAUACAGAUGAAGCUCUGAGACAAAAGCAAAACAAAGAGAUCAAUGGGGUAGAACUUAAAAAGAGAACGAUCAUAUGAAAUUAAAGCAGAUUUCACUUCCAUGAAUUGAACAAAACAGUAGUACAAAGUACUAAUACCUAUGCUCACUAAUGCAGCCUUUUGAGAUAUAAUUAUACGAAAACAAAGCAAAAAUGAAAGCAUAGGACAAAUAAAUGUUAAUGUGACUCCAAUUUGCAGAAUGGAUUUAUGAACUACCGAACAAUAAAUACCUACUACAGCAAAAAUGGCAUUGACAUAAACAAGCAUGCCAUUCUUUGCGUUGUAAACGGAUUGCUCGUAGAAUCUUCUCUUAAGCAUAACAUAAAUAAUGGAUGUAAGUAGUGAAUGACCUAACAAAUUCA